rnacentral:tRNA from 2 species
GGCGAUGUAGCUCAGCUGGUUAGAGCACACGGCUCAUAUCCGUGUUGUCCGGGGUUCAAGUCCCUGCAUCGCCACCA